rnacentral:piRNA from 1 species
UUCUUUUAGUUAUGCUGCCUA